UACGAGAGGGACGAGUGUUAUUCAUAUUUAUUUGGUGUAAAGGGCAAGUCGACGGGCUUAGAAAACAACACAAUGAAAUCCUAAAUAUUUUAUUUAGAACUGUUGUGUAAUUGAUAAUUAAACAUGAGCGCGAAUCAGCAGCUUAAUUAAUUUGUAGUGAGUCUAGAAUAUGAUAGAAGAUAGUGGAAUUGUUGAAGUAAAUGUAAAAUGUUUGGAGUUCAAUAGGUACACCGAAAGCGAAGGCGACUAAUCUAAGUAAUAUUGACGUUCAGGGGCUAAAGCGUGGUAUCGAUUGAG
rnacentral:rRNA from 1 species